AUUAAAAUAGCUUACUCAAGGUCACUGAAGGCAUAUGGUCCUGCUCAAAACUUUAAACAAAACAUUAGUUUUUACAACCUUUUGUAAUUUGGUAUUGUAUACAACAUAGUUAUAUGCAGAGUUUCUGUAAUCUUUUCAGUGGGUGACAGAAAUAUGAGAAGCAAAUUUAUAAGCCAUUUAGUGAAGCAUUUAAUCAAUUUCAUGCA
rnacentral:lncRNA from 1 species